rnacentral:misc_RNA from 1 species
GAAGUUGAGGUCAGCAGCGAGUAAAUUAGGCUUUUGGAUCCUACUCGCUGUAAUCUAGAGCUCCAUAGUUGUUAAGGUUUGCGCUUUUAUUCCCGAACUUAGGUUAUAAUUUUAUGUAGCCAUAAUCCUUUGAUGGACUUGGCCUUUGUAAACCUUGUCUCAUUCAAUGAAAUAUUUUUGUAUGUAAAAAAUAAAAAAUAUAAAAAUAAAACUACAAUCUUGCAAUUAAAAGAAAAUUGAUAUAACAGACACACAAUUAAUGUAUAGUAACAUAAUCACAAUAAAGA